UACGUAGGGUGCAAGCGUUGUUCGGAAUCACUGGGCGUAAAGCGCACGUAGGCGGAUAUGUCAGUCAGGGGUGAAAUCCCGGGGCUCAACCUCGGAACUGCCUUUGAUACAGCAUGUCUUGAGUCCGAUAGAGGUGGGUGGAAUUCCUAGUGUAGAGGUGAAAUUCGUAGAUAUUAGGAAGAACACCGGUGGCGAAGGCGGCCCACUGGAUCGGUACUGACGCUGAGGUGCGAAAGCGUGGGGAGCAAACAGG
rnacentral:rRNA from 1 species